GCCUUCGUGGUGUAAUGGUUAGCACACUCGACGCGUAUUCAAGAGGUCCAGGUUCGCAUCCUGUCGAGGGCA
rnacentral:tRNA from 1 species